GAUGAACGCUGGCGGCGUGCUUAACACAUGCAAGUCGAACGAAACACCUUAUUUGAUUUUCUUCGGAACUGAAGAUUUGGUGAUUGAGUGGCGGACGGGUGAGUAACGCGUGGGUAACCUACCCUGUACAGGGGGAUAACAGUCAGAAAUGACUGCUAAUACCGCAUAAGACCACAGCACCGCAUCGUGCAGGGGUAAAAACUCCGGUGGUACAGGAUGGACCCGCGUCUGAUUAGCUGGUUGGUGAGGUAACGGCUCACCAAGGCGACGAUCAGUAGCCGGCUUGAGAGAGUGAACGGCCACAUUGGGACUGAGACACGGCCCAAACUCCUACGGGAGGCAGCAGUGGGGAAUAUUGCACAAUGGGGGAAACCCUGAUGCAGCGACGCCGCGUGAGUGAAGAAGUAUCUCGGUAUGUAAAGCUCUAUCAGCAGGGAAGAAAAUGACGGUAC
rnacentral:rRNA from 1 species